rnacentral:misc_RNA from 1 species
GGCGUGUGAGUGGUGUUUGGAUUGUCUCUGCCGGCUGGCUCCGUGCUCGCCCACCGAACGGUCGGCAGGCAAUCCGCGUCGGUUGCUACAAGGUGGGAUGGUGCCUCAGAGGCUGGUUCUUGUGUCGCCUACCCCUUGAAGGGAAGCAGGCCACUUGACGGUUAGCCUCCAUCCGGCGCCUUCCAAUGGGCGCAGGAGGACAACGGGGCGCCCCCUGUGUUCCACCGAGCCCUGAACGGUCGAGUGGCCCACGGGGGCGCGCAACGCUCUCGGACCCAGCGCACUCCGUGGACGAGGACUCACGUCCCGGCCCUAAGAGAAGUAACGUAUGACGGCCGCUCCCUCGCCCCUUCACCGCGUCGGCGGCGCAAGGGCGGGAGGCGCGGCGUCGUUGAGGAUUGCUACCUGGUUGAUCCUGCCAGAGUCAUAUGCUUGUCU